rnacentral:tRNA from 1 species
GCAGGUGUGGCGGAACUGGCAGACGCGUACGGUUCAGAACCGUAUGGACUCUUUGUCCUUGGAGGUUCAAAUCCUCCCAUCUGCA